GCGAGAAGUCCGCACGGGGGUUUGAGAACGGUUCUGUGCAUGUGUCCUGGGAUUUUGUAAUUACAGCAACAGGCUAUGCCUGUUUCCCCACCCAGCUUUACCGUGUCCUGGUCUCUUGCCUCAGUUUCUCAUAUGGAGUGAAAAAGCAAGUCCCAAGCCCCUGGCCAGCCAGUCCGGUUGCAUCUGUAAUCUCCACCAUGGCCUGACGAUUCGCCAGCACCUGCUUUCCCUGAGGCACAGAUAGCACAGAAAUAUUUCCUCCUCCUCUGUGUUAACUUGAGCAUCGCAGUUCACUACCAAGGAAUCUCAAGGUCUGGCUCGAACUGCUGGAGAGCAGAGGCCCUCCUGGAGUUGAGCAUAGGAAACUGCUUUUAGCCGCAAGGAGGUCGCACGUGUUUCUGUUCCUCAGAGGUGCUGUACAGCCGUAUCAGCAAGCUCCUGCAGCCCCACCCUAGGGAAGUUUCUGGGCUUGUCCCUCAGGAGAUUUCUUGGGUGGCUCCUGCGUGCGUGCCUGGGGGUCACCCUGGUGGGUAUAGAAGGGCAGAUGGCUCCCCAGUGGCGUGGUCAGGCUGGAUGGAGGAAUCGCUGGCCAGCUCAGGUCCUCGUGGAGGACUGACAUCCGGGUGCAGCAGUACAGUGGUGGGUGACUGCCGGCGGGCUUUCUGCUCCGUUGGUCCCUCCAAGUCAGCACUGCAAGGAAAGGAAAAGCUCUGCUUCAGAGAACUGAUUUUCCUUGGAUUUGUUGGAAGGAUACAGACUGGGAAGGGACAGGGCUGGGGAGAGUGCAUUUCAGAGGCACCAGUGAGGGACAGAAGUCAGGGCAGGGACCGGUGCAGGGAUGAGCGUGAGGCGAUGACCAAAGACUCCACGCUCUCAUUUUCAGUUAGCACAUGGAGAGCAUGUGGACUUGUUCUUGGGGGUGUUUUUCCCAGUUCAGGUCAAUAACUGUAGACUCAGAAUGUGCUGCGGGCCCCGCAUGGUGCUAAACAUCAGGUACACGAAGGUGCCUGUCAGUGUUCUGGCCUGGCAAAGGGCUUCGAGUUCUAGUGGGCCUGAGCCUCACACGGGGUCCCUGCAGCUGCUGACUGCUGCGUGAUGUAAGCAUGUUUUGCAGAUGCAGCCAGGCUCGGGAGAAGGAGUCUCAGAAAUGUCGUGUGGUGUCCAUGGUCGCUGUCCCAGGAGGAGCAGCGUGCGUCCUUCUACCCGGGACCUGGGCCUCUGCUUCCCAGCUGAGUCUAUGAAGUCAGUGUUGUUAUCCUGACAACAAAACCAGACAGAGACACCACAAGAAAAGAAGAUUUCAGCCUAACAUUCCACAUGAAUAUAGAAACAAAAAUCCUCAGAAUACCAGCAAACCAAUCCACGCAUAGUGAAAGGAUUAUGUGAUCAGAAGUAUCAAGGCAAGUCAAAGGAGAAAGGAAUAUGCAAUAAAUGACACUGAAGCAACUGGAUAUCAACAUGCAAAAAGAUACAUUGAAACGUUUUACAUCAUGGACAAAAAUUAACUCUAAGAUGGAUCACAGACUUAAAUGUAAGAGAGUUUGAAAAGAUUGCUAGGAAUAAAACAAGACAGAAUGAAAAGUUACCUGGGGCUCUGAAGCUGUCAACCAGGAGAUGAACACACCCACCCCCCACAGCUGGCCUUUGAGAUGAGCAGCGGAUCACCAUGCUGCGAUCAAGCCUGGCUGUGCCUCCCGCUGCUAACAGGAGCCCCCAGGCUGCCCCACUGGCGCUGCUGCAGGGCACCUGCAGGGAUGCGAACGCUGCGUGUCCACACACAGCCCCGUGCAUGUGUGCACACAGACAUACUUGUGUGAUUCUACACUCACGUGCAUGCACACACAGGCACACAGCUUCGCUCACAGCCUCACACUGUGUGUACACACAUGCACACAAAAAGCCUUAGGAACACACACACAUGCACACACAUGCACAUCUGUACACACUCACGCACAGUCCUAUGCACACUCAUGCACACACAUCCUGUGCCCACUGAACACAAUAAGGUCGGAGGGGCACUCUUGGAAUAGAGCCUCUUUUGAGAAUGGAUUAGGCUUCCUGAUGGUAACUGGAAGAAACGUAGAGAGAGACCCUGACAUCUCCCAGAAUUCCCACAUUCCCAUCUCCCAGCAUUCCCAUUCCCUCAGACCUCCUCCCUCUUACCUGGCUGCCUUCACCAUGGGAGAGAUCAGCAGAUGCAAUGGAAAGUCCAGGGAGGGGAGCAAUGCAAGAGCAGUACAGAACUUGAAAGAUAAAGAGGAUAGAACAAAGCAAAAGCUCUCUUUGUAUAGAUAUCUUUAUAUCCAAAGAAACAAACAGUAGGGAAUCAAGGAGUAAGUAGGAUCGGAAUAUAUGGUAGUGAUGAGAAAUACAAAGCCAUAAGCAUGUUAACCCUCCUUUGCUUUGCUGUUUCAAUGACUGGGAAUUUGUUUUAGGAAAAUAACACCAAACCAUGAAAACUCUGCAUGCUUCAUGACUAAGAAGACCGCAUUAGCAAUCAAUUAAAAUGGCAACACUAGAAGAACCAUAAAGUGAAUCUACUGCAGUGAGUCACAGCGGCAAUUUAAAGACCAAGUUGCCGUUAACUAAGAUGCAGAUGACGCAGUCAUGGAAAGUUGCAUAUGUGCUGUCUGCCCACAUGUAACACGUGUGUCUGCCCUGGGAUAACGGAAAGACUAGCAGUAGGGCCCUCCAAAGUGAGUGGCCGCUGCAGAAGCUGCUCAGCCCCGGAUCCUGGAUGUCCAGAGUUGCAUCAACAAGCUGUCUCGGGCUGGCUGCUCGUGGCGAUUUCCCUCGUCCUGCUGGAGAGCAGCAGAUGGUUUCCCAUACUGUGUUAUAUUUAUUAACAUUCAGCCCAGACUUAAUUGACAAUACUAAACAUUGGUUCUUUAAACAUUCAGCUUCAUUAUUUGCAAUGGUAAUUUCAGUAAACAGUAGCUAUUCCAAAGCUCUGUAGUGUGAAAUUAAAUUUGUUGGUUAAUUAAUUGGAAGAAUGUAGCAACUUCAGACUGCUUAGAGAUGGUGGCCUUGGUGUGGCAUUGAAAUCAGUGAUCUGUAAAAUUACUCACAGUAUAGCAAAGUCAAG
ensembl:lncRNA